rnacentral:rRNA from 1 species
GAUGAACGCUGGCGGCGUGCCUAAUACAUGCAAGUCGAGCGAACGGACGAGAAGCUUGCUUCUCUGAUGUUAGCGGCGGACGGGUGAGUAACACGUGGAUAACCUACCUAUAAGACUGGGAUAACUUCGGGAAACCGGAGCUAAUACCGGAUGAUAUUUUGAACCGCAUGGUUCAAAAGUGAAAGACGGUCUUGCUGUCACUUAUAGAUGGAUCCGCGCUGCAUUAGCUAGUUGGUAAGGUAACGGCUUACCAAGGCAACGAUGCAUAGCCGACCUGAGAGGGUGAUCGGCCACACUGGAACUGGGACACGGUCCAGACUCCUACGGGAGGCAGCAGUAGGGAAUCUUCCGUAAUGGGCGAAAGCCUGACGGAGCAACGCCGCGUGAGUGAUGAAGGUCUUCGGAUCGUAAAACUCUGUUAUUAGGGAAGAACAUAUGUGUAAGUAACUGUGCACAUCUUGACGGUACCUAAUCAGAAAGCCACGGCUAACUACGUG